UACGGGGGGAGCAAGCGUUGUUCGGAUUUACAUGGGCGUAAAGGGCGCGUAGGCGGUCAGCACAAUGUCAGUUGUGGAAAUCUACCGGGCGUUAACUCGGAAAGGUCAACUGAUACUGUGCGACUAGAGUGCGGAAGGGGCAACUGGGAAUUCGUCGGUGUAGCGGUGAAAUGCGUAGAUAUCGAGAGGAACACCUGCGGCGAAGGCGGGUUGCUGGGCCGGAAGCACGUUCGAGCGCUUGAU
rnacentral:rRNA from 1 species